UCCGGUUUAUCACCGGCGGUCUCCUUAGAGUUCCCACCAUUACGUGCUGGCAACUAAGGACGAGGGUUGCGCUCGUUACGGGACUUAACCCAACAUCUCACGACACGAGCUGACGACAGCCAUGCAGCACCUGUCUCUCAGUUCCCGAAGGCACUCCCCUGUUUCCAGAGGAUUCCGAGGAUGUCAAGAGUAGGUAAGGUUCUUCGCGUUGCAUCGAAUUAAACCGCAUGCUCCACCGCUUGUGCGGGCCCCCGUCAAUUUCUUUGAGUUUUAACCUUGCGGCCGUACUCCCCAGGCGGAUAACUUAACGCGUUAGCUUCGAUACUAAAAGGUUACCCUCCCAACAUCUAGUUAUCAUCGUUGACGGCGUGGACUAC
rnacentral:misc_RNA from 1 species